rnacentral:rRNA from 1 species
UACGUAGGGUGCAAGCGUUAAUCGGAAUUACUGGGCGUAAAGCGUGCGCAGGCGGUUGUGCAAGACAGAUGUGAAAUCCCCGGGCUCAACCUGGGAAUUGCAUUUGUGACUGUACGGCUAGAGUGUGUCAGAGGGGGGUAGAAUUCCACGUGUAGCAGUGAAAUGCGUAGAGAUGUGGAGGAAUACCGAUGGCGAAGGCAGCCCCCUGGGUCAAGAUUGACGCUCAUGCACGAAAGCGUGGGGAGCAAACAGG